rnacentral:lncRNA from 1 species
CGGCGCCCCAGCCCCGCUGAGCGGCCCCGAGCGGAGCGAGCGAGCGGGCGGGCCCGCGCGGCGCAGGAGCGGACACCAUGCCCGGCUGGAAGAAGAACAUCCCCAUCUGCCUGCAGGCCGAGGAGCAGGAGCGAGUUUCGUCAUUGUACUGUGUAAGACUUUGCUCAGAAAACUGUGGUUCAUCUCCCCAGAAACUGCAGUGUGCUGGAAAGGCUGAUGGAUGCCGGGUCCUUCUGUUGUUGCUCUUGUCUCAAUAUGCUGAAGUUAUACGAUGACAUGCCUUGCCUCCCCAACUCCCCAGAUGAGCUCCUUGAAGUCAGGACCUACAUUUUAUUCAGUUAUAUAUCCUCAGUGCCUAGUUUGUGGAUGGAAAAUUUGUGCACACAUGCCUCCACUCUUCCCUUCUGCACCUGUGGCC